UUGAUUAGUUAUCUUCGAAUUAAGAUUGCCUAAAGGAGCAAGGUCUAUGGUGUCUUAAAUGCGAUAGGGUAUGAUGCGAAAGGAUUAUGCCUCCUAAGUUGGAAAGGAGAUAGUAAUAUUUAAAU
rnacentral:ncRNA from 1 species